CCAACAUCUCAUCCCUGCAUAUAAGGAGGACUUGAAUAGAAGCCUAUGCCACACAACGACAGACACGAAAAACGCGCCUACAUUUUCAGGAGUAGUGGGAUUCCGCAUAGAUGAAUUCUGUAAGACGAGCGCUACUAUGUAUGGAAGGAGAGCGGGCAAAGUCUCUGCAGUGAGCCAAUCAUGUACCACGCAGUGUGGGAUUUCG